rnacentral:rRNA from 1 species
UUAGAGUUUGAUCCUGGCUCAGGAUGAACGCUAGCGGCAGGCUUAACACAUGCAAGUCGAGGGGCAGCGAGAUCAGUGCUUGCACUGAUUGUCGGCGACCGGCGCACGGGUGCGUAACGCGUAUGCAACCUACCCAUUACAGGGGGAUAACACUGAGAAAUCGGUACUAAUACCCCAUAACAUCCAGGGAGGCAUCUUCUUGGGUUGAAAACUCCGGUGGUAAUGGAUGGGCAUGCGUUGUAUUAGUUAGUUGGUGGGGUAACGGCUCACCAAGACAACGAUACAUAGGGGGACUGAGAGGUUAACCCCCCACAUUGGUACUGAGACACGGACCAAACUCCUACGAGAGGCAGCAGUGAGGAAUAUUGGUCAAUGGACGCAAGUCUGAACCAGCCAUGCCGCGUGCAGGAAGACGGCUCUAUGAGUUGUAAACUGCUUUUGUACGAGGGUAAACGCAGAUACGCGUAUCUGUCUGAAAGUAUCGUACGAAUAAGGAUCGGUUAACUCCGUGCCAGCAGCCGCGGUAAUACGGAGGAUUCAAGCGUUAUCCGGAUUUAUUGGGUUUAAAGGGUGCGUAGGCGGUCGGAUAAGUUAGAGAUGAAAUCCCGGGGCUCAACUUCGGAAUUGCCUCUGAUACUGUUCGGCUAGAGAGUAGUUGCGGUAGGCGGAAUGUAUGGUGUAGCGGUGAAAUGCUUAGAGAUCAUACAGAACACCGAUUGCGAAGGCAGCUUACCAAGCUACUUCUGACGUUGAGGCACGAAAGCGUGGGGAGCAAACAGGAUUAGAUACCCUGGUAGUCCACGCAGUAAACGAUGAUAACUGUUGGUGGGCGAUACAGUGUCGGUGACUAAGCGAAAGCGAUAAGUUAUCCACUUGGGGAGUACGUUAGCAAGAAUGAAACUCAAGGGAAUUGACGGGGGCCCGCACCAGCGGAGGAACAUGUGGUUUAAUUUGAUGAUACGCGAGGAACCUUACCCGGGCUUGAAAGUUAGUGACGGAUCUAGAAAGAGGUCUUCCCUUCGGGGCACGCAACUAGGUGCUGCAUGGUUGUCGUCAGCUCGUGCCGUGAGGUGUCGGGUUAAGUCCCAUAACGAGCGCAACCCCUACCGUUAGUUGCCAGCAGGUCAAGCUGGGCACUCUGACGGGACUGCCGGUGUAAGCCGAGAGGAAGGUGGGGAUGACGUCAAAUCAGCACGGCCCUUACGUCCGGGGCUACACACGUGUUACAAUGGCAGGUACAGAGGGCAGCUACCCAGCGAUGGGAUGCGAAUCUCGAAAGCCUGUCUC